CCUUGUCUUUUGUUUGUCUUUAGCCGAUUCCAUACUGGCUGUACAAGCUGCACGGCCUGAACAUCAAUUACAACUGUGAGAUCUGUGGGAAUUACACAUACAGAGGACCCAAAGCCUUCCAGAGACACUUUGCUGAGUGGCGUCACGCUCACGGCAUGCGCUGUUUGGGCAUUCCUAACACAGCCCACUUCGCCAACGUCACCCAGAUUGAGGACGCAGUGUCCCUCUGGUCAAAGCUGAAGUCACAGAAAGCAUUAGAGCGCUGGCAGCCAGACACAGAGGUGAGUUCUUCUCAAACACAUUCAAUA